GUACUAAUUGAAAAAAUAUUUGUAUUAUUGUAUGUUGCUGUUUUCAUAGUAAGACGUGUGUGUGUACUACACAUCUAUUCAACAAGACGCGGCAAGUGGUUUUGGUGUGUAUUAUGUUGGUACAUUGUUGUUGUGUGUUGCUACAUUUGUUAUUGCUUGUAAAGGGAGUAGAGGAAUAAGAUAAAAAAGAGUUUGUUUUUUUGGUUUUAUAAUGUGAAUAAUUUAUCAAUAGAAUUACUUUUUGGAUAAAAUUACAUAGAUAUUUUCAAAUGUUUUAAAGAAAAAAAUUAUAUUUUUUCUGCAUAAAUAUAGAUACAUAAAACAAAUAUUGCAACAGUAGCCGUAACCUGAGGUGACGCAAGGAUUGUCUGAAGUUUUAAGAUCUUCAAAAAUAAAACAAGAUGAAUUUGAUAUUUAUCGGCAGAAGUGUGCUCCGUUACCUUUGCAACAAAUUUCAAAUUCUGAGAAUACGUGUGAAAUUUUUAAAUUAUGGCCAGAAUACACAAAACCUUCUGGACACCUUCUGAUUGAUAUCGAUUUCGUACUAAAAUAUCCAGUGGCGAAAAACUUUGAGGAGCGUUGGCCAUAUUUUGCAGAAGAUUUGUUAUUUAUUUUGAAGACAAGAAUAUCCUGCUCAUUAAUUUCCAAAAAAAUUACUACAAACUGAACGUAUCGAUGAAGAUUCUAAAAUGUUUACAAUUUUGUGGUAUUGUCAUAAUUUAUUUCCACUCAAAAUAAGCACAGAUAAAAAUGGAGCAAAAUAUAAGAAAAAGUUUAUCAUAGCGGAUUUGCAAGAAUCAUUUACUGUUGUUGUCAGUACAAUGGAAAUUAUUAAAAUUACAAGGCCGAAAAAUUCAUGUUACUUGUGAUUUGGGGAUACGUUGAAAGUAAAACAAAUUUUUGUAUAUUUUGAUAAUUUAAGGUAUCCUUUUGUUUCAACCCUUAAAGCAUUUGAUGUUCUAUUUAAAAUCUUUUUUGUUUUUAACCUGGAAUAUCCUAGUGAGUCCGAAAUUGUUUACCACUUUAUUCAAUCCCUUUUCUAUGAUUUGCCUGCAAGCAAAAAAUUUAUUAAAUCAAAUAUAAUUAAACAUGAGAUACUUAAGAUGAAAAAUUAGUAUUUGUAUUUAUAUACUAUUUAUAAUUAAUUUUCUUUUUAAGCAUUUACUUAAUAUUAGUAUGCAUAUAAAAUAUAUAAAAAUGUUUAAUUUCUUCUUCUAAAAUAGAUUUAUAAA